GUUACUGGAGCUGACGCUUACCCCUGGCAUUGAGACCUGGAAUAUGGCUGUUGCACAUUAAGAGGGAUGCUUGCCCAAGUGGACCUCUGAUUAGAGUGGGGAGGAUUGAAGUAUGGAAGAAGGCAGGUACUGUGGCUUAGUCCAGCUAGGCAUGGCCCUCCAGAUGAAGCUACUAGGUGAUGCUGGGUGCCGAGGUGAUGCUGCUUAGCUCAGUCCAGCUCUCCCGGG